UUAAACUUGAGAGUUUGAUCAUGGCUCAGAACGUACGCUGGCGGCACGCCUAACACAUGCAAGUCGAACGAAGUAGCAAUACUUAGUGGCAGACGGGUGAGUAACAUGUGGGUAUCUACCCUUUGGCCUGGAAUAACACGAGGAAACUUGUGCUAAUACCGGAUAAGUCUUUACAGAGAAAGCUUUAUGCACCAUUGGAUGAGCCCGCACUUGAUUAGUUUGUUGGUGGGGUAAUGGCCUACCAAGACUGUGAUCAAUAGCUGAUUUGAGAGGAUGAUCAGCCACAUUGGGACUGAGACACGGCCCAAACUCCUACGGGAGGCAGCAGUGGGGAAUCUUGCACAAUGGAGGAAACUCUGAUGCAGCGAUGCCGCGUGAGUGAAGAAGGCCUUUGGGUUGUAAAGCUCUUUCGUCGGGGAAGAAAAUGACUGUACCCGAAUAAGAAGGUCCGGCUAACUUCGUGCCAGCAGCCGCGGUAAUACGAAGGGACCUAGCGUAGUUCGGAAUUACUGGGCUUAAAGAGUUCGUAGGUGGUUGAAAAAGUUGGUGGUGAAAGCCCAGAGCUUAACUCUGGAACUGCCAUCAAAACUUUUCAGCUAGAGUGUGAUAGAGGAAAGCAGAAUUUCUAGUGUAGAGGUGAAAUUCGUAGAUAUUAGAAAGAAUACCGAUUGCGAAGGCAGCUUUCUGGAUCAUUACUGACACUGUUGAACGAAAGCAUGGGUAGCGAAGAGGAUUAGAUACCCUCGUAGUCCAUGCCGUAAACGAUGUGUGUUAGACGUUGGAAAUUUAUUUUCAGUGUCGCAGCGAAAGCAAUAAACACACCGCCUGGGGAGUACGACCGCAAGGUUAAAACUCAAAUGAAUUGACGGGGACCCGCACAAGUAGUGGAGCAUGUGGUUUAAUUCGAAGAUACGCGCAGAACCUUACCAACACUUGACAUGUUCGUCGCGACUCUAAGAAAUUAGAGUUUUCGGUUCGGCCGGACGAAACACAGGUGCUGCAUGGCUGUCGUCAGCUCGUGUCGUGAGAUGUUGGGUUAAGUCCCGCAACGAGCGCAACCCCCAUUUUUAGUUGCCAUCAUUCAGUUGGGCACUCUAAAAGAACUGCCAGUGAUAAGCUGGAGGAAGGUGGGGAUGACGUCAAGUCCUCAUGGCCCUUACGUGUUGGGCUACACACGUGCUACAAUGGUAUCUACAAAAGGAAGCAAGACCGCGAGGUUAAGCAAAUCCUUAAAAGAUACCUCAGUUCGGAUUGCACUCUGCAACUCGAGUGCAUGAAGCUGGAAUUACUAGUAAUCGUGGAUCAGCGUGCCACGGUGAAUGCGUUCCCGGGUCUUGUACACACCGCCCGUCACACCAUGGGAGUUGGUUCUACCUUAAGGCAAGGUUUCAAACCCUUGACCACGGUAUAGUCAGCGACUGGGGUGAAGUCGUAACAAGGUAGCCGUAGGGGAACCUGCGGCUGGAUUACCUCCUUUCUAAGGA
rnacentral:rRNA from 1 species